rnacentral:rRNA from 1 species
UACGUAGGGGGCAAGCGUUGUCCGGAAUCAUUGGGCGUAAAGAGCGCGUAGGCGGUCCGAUAAGUCGGUUGUGAAAACUGGGGGCUCAACCCUCAGAGGCCGACCGAUACUGUCGGGCUAGAGUCCGGAAGAGGCGGAGUGGAAGUUCCUGGUGUAGCGGUGAAAUGCGCAGAUAUCAGGAGGAACACCGGUGGCGAAGGCGGGUCUCUGGGCCGAUACUGACGCUGGAGGAGCGAAAGCGUGGGGAGCAAACAGG